GGGAGGUAGUGACAAUAAAUAACAAUACAGGGUUCUUUUGGAUCUUGUAAUUGGAAUGAGUACAAUUUAAAUCUCUUAACGAGGAACAAUUGGAGGGCAAGUCUGGUGCCAGCAGCCGCGGUAAUUCCAGCUCCAAUAGCGUAUAUUAAAGUUGUUGCAGUUAAAAAGCUCGUAGUUGAAUUUCGGGAUCAAGGGAUCGGUCAUGCCUUGGUAUGUACUGGUUUCAUUGGUUCUCACCUUCUAAAGAACCAUGAUGUCAUUCAUUUGAUGUUAUGGGAAAUUAGGACUGUUACCUUGAAAAAAUUAGAGUGUUUAAAGCAGGCUUUACGCUUGAAUACAUUAGCAUGGAAUAAUGAAAUAGGACAUCCGAUUCUAUUUUGUUGGUUUCUAGGAUCGAUGUAAUGAUUAAUAGGGAUAGUUGGG
rnacentral:rRNA from 1 species